UACAAAGGGUUUCUUUUAAUGAUCGCGGAGGAACAAGGGCACAUCCAACAUAAACUACAUUACAACAUUAGGAUACAACAUUACUACAUUAAUCACGGACCAGGAAGAACUAAACAGACAGGGUAUUUAAGCAGACAGAAGGUAAUCAGGGAAAUGGAGACAGGUGGGGAUUAAUCAAUUAACAAAACAAGGACAGGAAAAAGACCAAAUAAGGAAACUGAAAGUCACUGAAUGUAACAGUUCGCCCCCUCCCGGAACGGUGCGUCCUCGCACCGCAAGAGGAAUACCAGCGGAGGGAGGGUGGGGGUUUUGGAGGCGGGCAUGGGGCAGGCAAGGGGCAGGCGAAGAGGGAGCAAGGAGCUAGGAACCAGCGGAGAAACGGGAGGAUCAGGGCUGGACGGAACCAGCGGAAGAGGAGCAGAGGAGCUGACAGGUCUAGGAGGAGGCGGAAGAGGGAGGUUGGGAGGAAACACAGGAGGGCCAGGGCUGGACGGAACCAGCUGAGAGACAGGAGGAUCAGGGCUGGGUGGAACCAGCUGAGAAACAGGAGGAUAGGGAAUAGCCUCCCCAAACCAGUCUAUAAGGUCCAUUAAUUCCUCUGUAUACUUCCCACAAAACCAAAUGCAGCUCACCCUCAGUCGCAGGAGUGUGGGCAGGGCUUUCCUCCACGCCCUCGAUCUCCACUAAUUGUCCCACGACGCACGGUGUUGCCGGCUCACACACCUGGUCAGUCGCGCUCUCGAGUUCCUGCUCCCUGUCGGUGAUUGGCUCGGGCUCUGCGGCUGCGGUGGGCUCUAGCUCCGUGCGGCGGGAUGGCGGCUGGCUGGUCUCUGGUUUGGGAGUGGGGCUGGAGAUAUCCUCUUCGGCGGUGCAGAUGGUAAAUGGGGAUCCAUUUUUCUCCAGCACCCACUCCACGAAAGCGGCGAAAUCCUCUCUGGGACCGUUCGCUGCUAGGCGUGCCUUAGACUGCUCGCUCAGGCCGGUGUAGUAGAGCUGUCAGGGAAGUGGGUAAGGCACGCCAGAUUGAGAAAGUCCCUAGUAUGGUCCUCCAGCGAACGGUCCAGUUGCUCCAGGCACAGGAGUUGGACUGCUGGGAUAUCCAUUCCGAGAGGGGGGAAAACAAAAAAAAAACAAAAAAGAAAAACGCCACUAAACUGUUUGGGUCCGUGAUUCUGUUACCGUUUAGCUGUUGUGAAAUGAAGGCGCACGAGGAAGACGAAUUACAAAGGGUUUCUUUUAAUGAUCGCGGAGGAACAAGGGCACAUCCAACAUAUACAUUAGGAUACAACAUUACUACAUUAAUCACAGACCAGGAAGAACUAAACAGACAGGGUAUUUAAGCAGACAGGAGGUAAUCAGGGAAAUGGAGACAGGUGGGGAUUAAUCAAUUAACAAAACAAGGACAGGAAAAAGACCAAAUAAGGAAACUGAAAGUCACUGAAUGUAACAAUAUAUAUAUAUAUAUAUAUAUAUAUUCACGAUUCUGGCAAAAUAUACAAAGUUUUUAUAUUUUUAGUGAUGACUAAG
ensembl:lncRNA